rnacentral:rRNA from 1 species
UACGUAGGGUGCGAGCGUUGUCCGGAAUUAUUGGGCGUAAAGAGCUCGUAGGCGGCUUGUCGCGUCGGCUGUGAAAACUCGGGGCUCAACCCCGAGCCUGCAGUCGAUACGGGCAGGCUGGAGUCCGGCAGGGGAGACUGGAAUUCCUGGUGUAGCGGUGAAAUGCGCAGAUAUCUGGAGGAACACCGGUGGCGAAGGCGGCAUCCUGGACCAAUUCUGACGCUGAGGAGCGAAAGCCAGGGGAGCAAACGGG